UACGUAGGGCGCGAGCGUUGUCCGGAUUUAUUGGGCGUAAAGAGCUCGUAGGCGGCUCGUUGCGUCGGCUGUGAAAACUCGAGGCUCAACCUCGAGAUGUCGGCUGAAACCAUCUGGCUAGAGUCCGGAAGAGGAGAAUGGAAUUCCCGGUGUAGCGGUGAAAUGCGCAGAUAUCGGGAAGAACACCCGUGGCGAAGGCGGUUCUCUGGGACGGUACUGACGCUGAGACGCGAAAGCGUGGGGAGCGAACAGG
rnacentral:rRNA from 1 species